CCACCCAGCGACCCUUUCUUCAGCGGAUAAGUGGAGAGAGGCUUCAUCUCGGAUGAAAAUAUGUAUUUGGUGCUUACAAAGUUCUCUCCAAGUUCAGAAAAUUAAAUGUUUUUAUAUUCAUUGAAGAACUCUUUCUAAGCAGCAUACGAAAAGUGAGGUUGUAUUGACCUCCCAGAGCUGCGUUAUACGCAGUGGGUCUCUCUGGCAGGUCCUACAACCACCACAGGUUAGAGUAACAUUACAGGUUGACUCGGCUCGAGUAAAUCAAAAUGGCUGUACUUCUCCGAAGCUGCUGUUAUGUGUUGACGUUGCGACAAGGCACGAUGCUGAUUGCUGUCAUAGAUCUGCUUAUGUCAGCCAUCGGCUUU